UUUGUUUUUCACAGUGCAAUUAAAAACGAUGAUGAUUGAGUCACUUGCUCCUUCUCCUUCUAUUUCUACUGUUAUGUUAUGCUCUGUUUUUCUCUCUCUCCAUCAUUUCUCACCAAUUCCAAUCACAAUUCUUCAAAAUCAAAUCCAAUUUCCUUUCUUUUACUGUUCCACUUCUUAGGAUCCGCCAUGAAUGCUUAUUAGCCUCAGUUAUUAUUAUUUUUUUCUCACUUUUUUAACUUGUCGUGCUCUUCUUUGUAUGAUGAUGACCCAGCUUCUUCACCUUUUUACCCCACCCACCCCCUCUUCUUCUCCUUCUUACUCUGUUCUCUUGUACAGCUGAUCCACCCUCCCCCAUUUAAAAACCCCACCUUGACCCUCCUUCUACCUUUUGACCUACUAAUCUCUCUCUUUUUUAGUUCUAGGGUUUCCUUUUUCUUCUUGAUCCUUUGUUUUCUCUUCCUCUCCUCCUCUUUAGCUCUCGCUUCAAACCACCCUUGUCUUGUUUUUGUAUAUUCCUGUAGAUUUUCACUAUCUUUUCUGCCAAUUUUUAGGGGGUUAUUUUCUGUUUAUAAUGAGGUGGGGUUUUUACUUGAUCAAUUUUUGUAUAACGUGAAUAGCUUCUUGUUUCUGGUCUAAAAGUAAUAUUUCCUUAGUUCUUCUUUCUUCGUUUUUCCAAUAAAAUUUGGGUUUAUGGCUUAUCAACAACAGCAGGGAGCAGUUGGGGGUUCAGGUUCGGCUCCAUUUUAUAAUUCUCCAUUUGGGGACACCACUUUUACUAAGGUCUUUGUUGGAGGCCUUGCUUGGGAAACUCAGAGUGAAACCCUCAGGCGAUACUUUGAGCAGUUUGGUGAUAUCCUUGAGGCUGUUGUCAUCACUGAUAAAAAUACUGCCCGAUCCAAAGGCUAUGGCUUUGUGACUUUCCGGGACCCAGAGUCCGCGAGGAGAGCGUGUGCUGAUCCUGCUCCAAUUAUCGAUGGGAGGCGAGCAAAUUGUAAUUUGGCUUCGUUAGGGCGACCUCGGCCUACUGUGCCAUUUGGACGUCCGAGGUCAUCAACUCCAUUUCCAUCAGGUUUACCAGCUGCUCGGGGUGCUUAUGUUGGAAGCUUUGGCUACCAGCAACCGGUUUCUUAUGGCUACCAGCAAGGCUUGAUGUAUUCUCCCUAUGGGUAUGCAACAUAUGGUGCGGAUUAUGUUUACCCUCAGGGUGUUUACAAUCCUUAUGGAGGUCAACAGUACCUUCCUAUAUAUGGUGUACCUGGAAGUGUUAACACAACAAUGUAUCCUUACGGCCAGCUAAGUCAGGCUGUUCCUGGAAGUCACAGUUAUACAACAUUGCAGGGUUAUGCAGUGCCAGGUCAUCAGAUUCUUCAGUUUGGUGGGCCCAGUGUCAAUGCAAUGACAGCUUCAUCCAUUCCAACUAUUCAAGCACCAUACCCAACAGGUGUCGGAGCGCCUGUUACUCCACAGCCACAGUUUAUACUACCUACUCAUUCUCCUCAAUUUAUGCAAGGUAGCGGUUCUGACCAAAAUGCAGGGUGAUAUUUUAUCAAGGUAAUCCUAGAUUGCAGCAGGACUAAAAGAAGCAGUACUGCUACUUGAGAGGCGGGCUUUCAAUCUAACCUUGCAAAUUGUUCACUUUGCAUUCUAGAGCCAAAAGAAAAAGAAAAUAAAAGAAAGCUGUGUAUGUAAAUACUGGAAGUUGUUUGAUCUGCAGUAAGUUUAUGUUUCUCCUAGGUUAUAAAAAAGUCAAAGUCAAUACUCACCAUGAGAGCUCAAUGUCUGAGUCGCUCCUGAUGAUUGAGUGAGGAAACAUGGAAGUUGCGGAUUGCACUUCCUUCAACAUCAUCAUCUUAUUGUACUUGCAUUCUGCCGGUGUUGGGAUAACUGGCAGAGAGUCAUUCGACGUCAUGCAUUUGAGGGAUGCUGGAAUAGGUUUCUGGCUCCCUCCCUGUAGCAAUAAAUAAACACUGUAAAAAUUCACAUCAGAAUCAACAUAUGAUUCUUUCAUAGUCAAAACUCCCCAGCAUGUUUGGGUGUGUAGAUAGUCUUGAGUGUUGGUGCAUCAUACGCACUGUGUUUAAAAGUAUUCUCAAAGUCUUGUGCAUAAAACAAUCUUUAGUCUUUUAAUUGACAUUCAUUCUGUAAUUUGGAUUAUUUAUUGAGAGCUCAGCUCUGAAGUAAGUAGCUUCAGGAUCUCAAGAACACGGGAAAUAUGUUAUUGCACUGUU